rnacentral:rRNA from 1 species
UUGGUCAAUGGACGCAAGUCUGAACCAGCCAUGCCGCGUGAAGGAUGAAGGUCCUCUGGAUCGUAAACUUCUUUUAUCUGGGACGAAAACGGGAUUUUUAUCUCAAUUGACGGUACCAGAGGAAUAAGCACCGGCUAACUCCGUGCCAGCAGCCGCGGUAAUACGGAGGGUGCGAGCGUUAUCCGGAUUUACUGGGUUUAAAGGGUGCGUAGGUGGGCUUAUAAGUCAGUGGUGAAAUCUCCGAGCUUAACUUGGAAACUGCCGUUGAUACUAUAGGUCUUGAAUUAUCUGGAGGUAAGCGGAAUAUGUCAUGUAGCGGUGAAAUGCGUAGAUAUGACAUAGAACACCA